AGAAAUCAGUAGGCACUUGUCUUCUAUUUCUUUCAAGCCAUUGUUUCUACUUCCUGGAGAACGGCAGCAAUACUGAACAUCCAAGUUUUGGGCAGAGCUGUAGAGGCCUCCCCUCGUCCCUUUAUUUUGUUUGCUGUGGAGAAUUAGUUUAUCCGCAACUUUCUAGUAGAUGUCAGGUUUUCAGGUGCAGCAUGAUAAAUAAAAGGGUUUGGUUCCAUCAUUCAUGAUAAUGCCGUAUCUACUUAUCUAAUGCCAACUCUACUACGGUUUCUGUAUCUUUUGUUUUGCAGUCUCCUCAAACAGCACGAAUCCACUUGAGCACAGCGAAAAAUGGCUGUUUGAUGUAGGUGAACAGCUAUUCUGCAUUGCGUCCUUUUGUCUCUUUUUAUUCGGGUCACAAUGGUCAAUGUUUACACUACUCUUAAUUUAGCUCCCCAUCAAGUUGAUAGGGGACAAGAGGGAGAUAGACUCUACCUCUAGACUAAUAAAGGGGUUUGUGCUACUACACAUUCUUCGGAUUUAAAAGCAACUGGAAGAAUUUGAACUCCUGACUGCAGUUACGACUACAUCUUUAUAUGUUGCUUGGUGGGUUAAGUCAUUUGUGGUGAGUAGGGGUGUUAGAGAGUUGAGUUGAGCUUAAAUACUGUUAUGCUCAAGCUCGAAUUCAAUGCUACACAAGGCCACUCGAAAUCAAGUUCGACUCGAGAGAACAGAAAAUUGUGUAACUCGACUCGACAAUAUGUAUUUUCAAGCUCGAACUCAGACUUGUUAGCCUCGAGCCUUAACAAGAUUGUGGACUUGAAAUAAAAUUUGAAAAACAGCUCAAAAACUUAAUAG
rnacentral:lncRNA from 1 species